rnacentral:tRNA from 1 species
GCGCUCGUAGCUCAGUUGGAUAGAGCGUCGGUUUCCUAAACCGAAGGUCAGAAGUUCGAAUCUCCUCGGGCGCA